UGACCUUUAUGACCAUCAGCAGAUUCUCCAUCCGUCACCACUACCAACACCUUAGUGGCCCCUGUACGCCCACCGUUUUCUGGGCAGGAGAGAAGGCCGGCUGGAGUGUAAACCGAGGGCUCAGUUCAGCACAGACUCCCGGGUAGAAGUACUGACUGCCACAGCGCUGAGCCCACAGAGGACCACAGCAUCAUCUCUUCUCUUAUGCUUACUGGAGUGAGGGCGGGGCAACCUGUCCCUUACAUGAGAUUGCCCAAUAGCAAACCACAACCAUCUUCCCCAUGGAGAAAAUCAAGUCCAGCUCUACA